CGCUGGCGGCGUGCUUAACACAUGCAAGUCGAACGAUGAAGCCAGCUUGCUGGUGGAUUAGUGGCGAACGGGUGAGUAACACGUGGGUGAUCUGCCCCAAACUUUGGGAUAAGCCUGGGAAACUGGGUCUAAUACCGAAUAUGACCGAUACUCGCAUGGGUGUUGGUGGAAAGCUCCGGCGGUUUGGGAUGGGCCCGCGGCCUAUCAGCUUGUUGGUGGGGUAAUGGCCUACCAAGGCGACGACGGGUAGCCGGCCUGAGAGGGCGACCGGCCACACUGGGACUGAGACACGGCCCAGACUCCUACGGGAGGCAGCAGUGGGGAAUAUUGCACAAUGGGCGCAAGCCUGAUGCAGCGACGCCGCGUGAGGGAUGACGGCCUUCGGGUUGUAAACCUCUUUCACCACGGACGAAGCGAAAGUGACGGUACCUGGAGAAGAAGCACCGGCCAACUACGUGCCAGCAGCCGCGGUAAUACGUAGGGUGCGAGCGUUGUCCGGAAUUACUGGGCGUAAAAGAGCUCGUAGGCGGUUUGUCGCGUCGUUCGUGAAAACUUGGGGCUUAACUCCAAGCGUGCGGGCGAUACGGGCAGACUUGAGUACUACAGGGGAGACUGGAAUUCCUGGUGUAGCGGUGAAAUGCGCAGAUAUCAGGAGGAACACCGGUGGCGAAGGCGGGUCUCUGGGUAGUAACUGACGCUGAGGAGCGAAAGCGUGGGUAGCGAACAGGAUUAGAUACCCUGGUAGUCCACGCCGUAAACGGUGGGUACUAGGUGUGGGUUCCUUUUCACGGGAUCCGUGCCGUAGCUAACGCAUUAAGUACCCCGCCUGGGGAGUACGGCCGCAAGGCUACAACUCAAAGGAAUUGACGGGGGCCCGCACAAGCGGCGGAGCAUGUGGAUUAAUUCGAUGCAACGCGAAGAACCUUACCUGGGUUUGACAUACACCAGAAAGCCAUAGAGAUAUGGCCCCCCUUGUGGUUGGUGUACAGGUGGUGCAUGGCUGUCGUCAGCUCGUGUCGUGAGAUGUUGGGUUAAGUCCCGCAACGAGCGCAACCCUUGUCCUGUGUUGCCAGCACGUAAUGGUGGGGACUCGCAGGAGACUGCCGGGGUCAACUCGGAGGAAGGUGGGGAUGACGUCAAGUCAUCAUGCCCCUUAUGUCCAGGGCUUCACACAUGCUACAAUGGCCGGUACAGAGGGCUGCGAUACCGUGAGGUGGAGCGAAUCCCUUAAAGCCGGUCUCAGUUCGGAUCGGGGUCUGCAACUCGACCCCGUGAAGUCGGAGUCGCUAGUAAUCGCAGAUCAGCAACGCUGCGGUGAAUACGUUCCCGGGCCU
rnacentral:rRNA from 1 species